ACAUAGUCAAAAGUCAUACUGCUGUGUCCCUGGAUGUAACUCCUACAAAAGGAGGAAGUCAUGCAGAGAAUGAACUUUUCACAGUUUCCCCAAAGACUGUGCAAUCCGACGCCAAUGAGUGGUGGAAAUAAAGCGAGUUGUCAGGCCACAUUAUAAAAGUUAAUUGACAACAACCAAAGUGUGUUCAAAACACUGUUUGCGGACUCCUUUUUAAAGACCAUAAGUGGGAAACGGAUGCUAAAAGUGCAGGUUGUGCCGACUGUGUUCACCUGGAUGUCCACCCCGAAACUUGGCAGAAAGACCAUCAUCAGAAAAGCUGCAAGUGAGGCUGCCCGUCAUGGAAAGGAUGCACCUGCCGAGGAACCAGAUGAGCUAAGGUAGUUGUUUAUUAUUACAUACGUGUCUUUUCUGUCAUUUUCAACAGUUCAUAGCAGGUACAGUAUAUGUAACCGAAUCUUGUAUCUACAGUGACUCUCUGGAUCAGGACCCUCAAGCUGAGAAUAUGGCUUGCCAAAUCAUGUUCAGACUUAAGUUCUGAACUUAACAGUCACUUUAGUGUUUUUUGUGAGUUUACAAUAUUUGGUUUAGCCUCGAUCCCGUUUACAAUCAUUCACAAUGAAUGCAUCAGUAUCUGCCUGUCUGCUCUACAUAAAGGCCAUGCAAGUUCAUUUUGAGUUGUUUUUCUGUAAGCCUUCUACUAACAGAAAAGGAACAUGUAUUAAUUUGGAAUAGAACAUGUAGAGUUGGCAGUAUUCAUUUUGAGAGCAUGUGGUUGGGCUUUUAAAGCAGCUUGAAGAGGCACGCAACGAGGUCCCUCGUCAAGUCGAGGAAAUUGUGAAGCUUCGGGCAAACCAGUUCUCCUUCAAUGCUUCCUGUGUGACAAGAAGAACAACAUGUUUUACAACACUGGAUUUAGGGACUACAGUACUCUAAAAGGUGUUUUUCUGACAUUACAGCCAACAGAAGAGACCAUGGUUAGAUGGAGUCAGGUACAGUGCUUAAACAAAACAGAUGAACACACACUUAGAGUUGGCUUUAAAGGAACGAGAAGCUUCCGUAUUUCCCCUGCCAGUGCUUUCACAGAUGUUAUAAAUGGCAGAUAUAAAAAUGUGUUCUCUGUCUGUCUCUAUGCUGCUUAGACCUCUGGUCCACACUCCAGUCCUGUUGGUGGCGGUAAUGCACUUUGAAGUUGGUUGCCAGCGGCCUUAAAAAAUACACAGAAGAAGAAAAAUGAUCUCUAUUCUGCCACCUCCUUGCUCCUGCAGGGAGAAAUUGAAAGUGGUGUUGUCUAAUGUAGUUUAUUUGUAGCACGAGGAAAGCUUGCUAGGCUUUUAGCCACCUGCAGCCACAUAAACGAGACAGUAAUGGAAUAGAAAUAUGAAUAUCCGUAAUGCUUUGGACCGCGACUAGGAUGUUGAAGGCACAUUGGGCACAUAAUAUGUUGUUAGCUAGUUAAUCAAAAAUUCUUAAUAGCCAUGUAGUUGAUGAUAAAGAUGUUGAUUGUUGAUUGUUUUUUAAACGCAAAUAUGCCAGCAAAAAUAAUUAAUGCAAUAACAUUAACUGUUAGUUAGCUAGUUAUUAUUAUGAAUGGCCAGUUAGCUAACGUAAACUAUAAUCAGCACCGGCCUGUACCCUCCCUGCGCUAAACUCUCUCCUGGCCCAUUAAAAUAAAUCUGAAUUUGUCCUGCUAGGUGACCUAUG